rnacentral:lncRNA from 12 species
GGAAAGUCCACUUUCUGAGCUGGUACUCUGCAGCAAAUGCAGUCUCAGCUAUACUAGCUGAUUCUUUCCUGGGAAAUUUUCCAGACCCACACAUAAAGAAGGAGUUUCCAGGACAGAACUUUCAGCUGGUCACCUUGUGGCAAUGAUGUGAUGGUGACAGCAGAGGCAUCAACCAUUGUGUCUUGCAAUGAGAAUGGUCUGUGGUGCUGAAAAGGAUGGCUUUUGGAGGUCUGCAUGGAGCAUAAAUGUCCCUGCCGACUCUCCCUGGAUGUGAAAUUCAAAUGAUCUCCAAAGCUUCCCUGUGACCAUCAGUCGCUGCACGCAGUGGUACACGCCACAUGCAGGUACUUUGUCUCUGUCACUGCUGAAAGGACAUUGUUAUUACCAACAACUCUUUGUAUUAACCAGUCUCCUAC